rnacentral:misc_RNA from 1 species
AAGUCGUAACAAGGUCUCCGUUGGUGAACCAGCGGAGGGAUCAUUACGAGUAGAGUUUACGAACUCUUAAACCCUUUGUGAACCUUACCUAUCGUCAGUUGCUUCGGCGGGAGGCCCCUGGGAGGGGCCCCGGGGCCCGGCCUGAGCCGGGCUCCCGCCGGAGGAGCGCAAACCAAACUCUUGCUGUACCUCAGUGGAACAUCCGAGUUAAAAAAUAAAAAACAAGUUAAAACUUUCAACAACGGAUCUCUUGGUUCUG